GGAGAGUUAUCCUAAUUGGGAAGGAAGUAGUCUACUAAACUACCGCCGUAAGGCUUAUGGGUUCAAGUCCCAUACUCUCCGCCA
rnacentral:tRNA from 1 species